GCGCAGAAGCACGCAGUGCCAAUCCACGCGAAGCUUCUUGCGUUCAUGAAAUGCAUAAAACGCGGCAGAAUUAGUCCUUUAUAUGUCACUACACACUGUAGCGUCCUGGGAAAAAGGUUCGGAUAAGCACGUGUUGUGUUGUGUGAUAAGUAUCCCUCUAGCAUGAAUGUAAAUUGUCACUGUUUAUUCACUAGAGCGUUAACAGUUCACACGACUGAAGCUUGUCAUACUGUUUUAAAAUCGUUCCCGGUUUGAAUAACCACAACAAAAGUGUCUCAACAGUGUUUCUUAUUUAGUGCGUUUAUACGCUUAUUUUUAAGCAUGCAUUUAUUAAACGUCUCUGCUAACACAUUUUAUUCAUCGCACCGUAAAGUCUCAUCGUGUGUGAUUGCAUUGUUUAUGUGUUGUCGAUAACACAUCGUCCCAGCACUGUGUCUUUAGCGAAAUUAGUGACAGUUUGUGCCUGAAAAGUAGCAUGUCACUAUGGUGCACUACACUAUAUUGCUUUCUGUGCGUGUGUGAAUGUUUUAUCACUCAUUGGAUUAGGCCACAAGAAGAGGCUGAAGACGUUGGUUCCUCUCCCGUCGGCUGCUACACAUCGUCAACAAACGUGUCUGCAAGCAUAUCUGACAGACGUCCACUCGACAGCUCGUCACCUCCCCUGGCGCCUUCCACCUCACCGUAGUCCGACUGCAGGCUCAACAGUGAAAUGGCUUCAGUGUCUGAGCACAGUGGACUGUGCCACGCGGGAGAAGGCGCUGCAGUGUGGCGUACGAGCAUUGACGACUUGCCUGAGGAGAUACUGAUAAAGAUCUUCUCUCACUUGUCUUUCACUGAGCUAGUGGACGUGGUAUGGAAAGUGUGCCGUCGUUGGAGAAAGCUGUCGCGAGAUUUGAGGUUGUGGGCUGACAAGGAAUACCAUGUCGGGGUCUCGAGGCACUGCAACUCGGAGAACUGUAAGAGCGGCAGGACCGAGCGGGAGGCGAUGCA